rnacentral:rRNA from 1 species
GGACGAACGCUGGCGGCGUGCUUAACACAUGCAAGUCGAACGGAAAGGCCCUGCUUGCAGGGUGCUCGAGUGGCGAACGGGUGAGUAACACGUGGGUGAUCUGCCCCUUACUUUGGGAUAAGCCUGGGAAACUGGGUCUAAUACUGGAUAGGACCAUGCUGUAGGUGGUGUGGUGGAAAGAUUAGUUUCGGUAAGGGAUGAGCUCGCGGCCUAUCAGCUUGUUGGUGGGGUAAUGGCCUACCAAGGCGUCGACGGGUAGCCGGCCUGAGAGGGUGGACGGCCACAUUGGGACUGAGAUACGGCCCAGACUCCUACGGGAGGCAGCAGUGGGGAAUAUUGCACAAUGGGCGCAAGCCUGAUGCAGCGACGCCGCGGGGGGGAUGACGGCCUUCGGGUUGUAAACUCCUUUCAGCCAUGACGAAGCCCUUGUGGUGACGGUAGUGGUAGAAGAAGCACCGGCUAACUACGUG